rnacentral:lncRNA from 1 species
ACAUUAUGACAUCUUCUUCACACAUUAAUCUUUAAUUUUGAGCAUAAAUUGAGGUAGAGAAAUCAAACUCGAAGAAACUUCGAGAGAAAAGAAACCAAUUAAAAUAAAAUGUUAAAAUCUUUCCCAUCACCACAAUUUCAAGAUAUGGCCUCUCUGCACCUUCAUCACAACCAUCUCAACAAGAAAACACAGGAAGAAAUUAAAUCCAAAAAGAAGCAAAUGUGAAGAAAAGAAGAAGAACUAGUCUACAGCAACACAAAGUCUUUCCUCGUUUAAUCCGUAAAUAAAAUGGUAACUCCUUUUUUUAUUUUGACUCAUUUUAUAUUUUAUAUUUUAAUUUAUAAUUAGAGUCAUAUAUAUCUUUUAUUUAAUUUGUUUAGGCUUGAGUAUAUGCUUUUCUAUACUAUUUCUUUUUCUUGUAUUUUCGUUGAGUAUAAGUAUCUGAUGACUGAACAUUUCCAUGAUUGGAUCUAAACAUUUGUGAUUAGUUUUUCUUAAUAUUAGCAUAAUAACAAAUUAAUAAUUUUUUGAUAGAAAAUGUCUAAAAGACUGGCUCUUGCUUCCUCUAUUCUGACAUUCAUUUCAUCUUACUACGUGUAAAAUAUAUGGAUCCUUCGAAGCAUUUGUGACACCAUUGAUUUUAUGACACAUAACUUCAACAAACAACAAAAAAGGUAACAGCAACAUUGGAAUCAAUUUAGUAGGUUGAAACAACAUAUCACAUCCAAAGAAAAUGGAUGGCUUAGAGAUUACAUUAUCCAAUAACAUUAAUAACAUUAAUGUAACCCUUUUAAGAAAACUCAUUUGAGGCAUAUUUCAAGAAACUGAUAAAAUCUUGGUAAGUAUUCUCUCUAUUUCUACCCGUGCAAGUUCUUCCACGUAGAACUCCAUUCUUCCACCUAGUAUUAUUAUCUCUUGGAGACUUGGAUUUGAAUCCUUGUUUUUAUGGUUUCGCCACUAAACUUCUUUUGUUCCCUUAGUUGAUAUUGUUUCGUUUGUACAAAUUCAUGACCUCAUUAUUACGGUUAAAGAAUUCUAAUGUACAAUGCAAUCCCACGACAACUCUUUGUACCAUCACCCCCUCAAAACAUCAUCAUUGAGCUCAACAACAAGAAAUUUAACUUUAACCCAAUACCAAUGAUGUAUUUGUUUAGUUAGAUUAUAUCAAGAGCAUUUACACUGCUAGAAGCGACUACUCGUGACUCCUCGGCAUCAAAUACGGUCUAACUAUUCAAAACUCGUAAUCUUGGUCUUUGGUUUGAAAAUUCUGCCUCCUAGAAAAGAUUAAGUUCCUCUUUUGACUCGCUUGUCACAACUUUACCCCAUCACUAGAACAUGAUAACCUCAACUUCUUGCUCCAUAUGCGGUCUAGAAGAUGUGUUUUCCGUGUGUUGUAGACAAAAGUGCUUCUAAAAAUCUGUCACUUAACCUUGGAUUCUCCCAUAAAGAUCUUUCCUCGAUCCAUAAUACUAAUGUUUGGCUUAUAAAUGGAAGCUCUAACAACUGUUAUACCCUAUUUGCGGCAAGAAUUUUGUGGGCUUAGAGAAACAAAAAAUGUACUUGUAUCCCCCAUGAUCACAUUCCCUUGUAUCUUAUUUCUCUGAUUGCUCGCUCCAUGGAAGGCUCCUUUCACAUUUGCUUAAACAAAUCUAUUCAGAAGCACAUUGAAGAUCGUCUCAUAAAAUGAAACCCCUUCAAUUGUUCUUGCCCUAUUAUUAAUGUUGAUGACAUUUGUAAUGAUACAUCAACUCUCGUUGACUUUGGUGGAACAAUUACAAAUGCUUAAAGAGCUUAGAGGCGUGGCAUCUCUAACUUCAUUUUAAAUUGGGGGACUUUCAUUGGGGGACUUUCAUACCUUUAAGGUUUUGUUUUGGAGUUUAGAGGGGAGGGGAAGAGUGAGUUUUGAAAAACGUUUUUUUAAAUAGAGAAAUCUUUAAUAUUUUUUGAAAAAAAAGUUGUAUAGAAAACUUUAACGCUUUUUUUAAAUAGAGAAAUCUUUAACAUUAUUGAAAAAAAUUGAUAAAUUAUAUUUUAACAAUUUAUCUAAGCCCUCCAAAACCAUCCAAACUCCUUCUCCAAUACAAUUUUUUAAUUCCCCAAAUUAGGGAGAUUUUGGUUUUUGAGUAAAAAUAAACCCCCCAAACUCUAUCCACCUAAAUCUUUUUAUUUUUUUCCCUCAAUCAUUUGCUUUUUUCGAAGUCUUGCCAUUCCUUCCCCUUCAAACUCCCAAACAAAGCUUUAGUGUAGAUUUGAAGAUGAAUAUGUAAGAGAGAGAGAGAGAGAGAGAGAGUGUGUAGAUUUGAAGAUGAAUAUGUAAGAGAGAGAGAGAGAGAGUGUAGAUUUGAAGAUGAAUAGGUGUGUGUGUGAGAGAGAGAGAGAGGGAGAUAUGGUUAAGAGAGAUAGAGGGAAAGGUACCAAGGCACCAAAAUCCAAAGGUAGUCAACCCCUUCCCAUGCUUAAGGCAUCCUAAAGGUUGCUACCAAACCCUCGUGAAAGGCUAAAAAUACCCCUAGAAUUCAGAGAUGCAUUUCCAAACAUACCUCAAACAUACACAUCCCAUCUGUUUUUAAUCCACGUCCCAAAUAUUUGAUUGAACUGAUUCCGAAACAUAUUGAACCAGCAACAAACACAGAAUUGAAAAGAUAAUGAAUGAAGAUAAAUCAAUAUUGGUAACAUAAAAAAUGAAACAUUACAUAAGUAACCAUUAACAUAAAUCGAACACUACAUUUUAACAUAAAUCGAACACUACAUUUUAACAUCCAGAUAGACACUUCAACACCUUCAUAAUAUAUGUGAUCGGUCUUGCAAUCGUCGCAUCUAGCUCAAUCAGACGUUUUAUUUCGUAACAAAAAAAGUAUUCCAUAUAAGCCUUAAAUAUUCAUGUGUCUUUAGCUUUCAAAAAUCUCUCUUGUAUCACUUUCCAUUCGGUCAAGAUGGAGAUAUUUGACUUAUCGUCCUUCAUCACGCCAUCAUCAUCAAACCCGAUCCCUUUCCAGUGAGUUCAAACCUUAUUCAUUCUUAUCAUGCUAUCGUGUUUCACCUUCUUUGAAAUUAGACAAGCACACGGGACUCGAGAGACCAUAUGUUUUCCUGAAUGUGCAACCAUACUUUGAGUUAUCAGAAUCUACAUUCUAAGUUUGUUUGGCUUAGUGAAAAAUAAAAUCCAAUCCUGCUCAAGAUAUGUUUCCGACCAACUAAGAAUAUAAAUUGUUGUCUUUGAAUCUGUGUUAUGAUACUGUGAUGCUACAACCAAAUGAUGUUUGUAUCUCGUUAUGCUGAUUUUGGAUCAUUUGAUUUACAUAGUCUCAAUCUCUAGACAAAUUACCCUUACUAUUUCCCAACCAAUUCUUUAGUGUAGCAUGGGAAGACUUAACUCGAUUAGUUGUUGUAUUUCCAUGGUAUCUUACUUGAUCGGUCCAAGCACAAACAAUUUUCUUCUUUACAUGGUAUAAAACUCUACUUUCAACAUGUUUCAAUAAAUAUGGAUACUUCUCAAACAACUUCAUGAAACAUAUAACAACAUAGACAUAUAAUUCUUCUGGAGAAGAUUUUUAUUAUCACAUUCCAUGCAUCUAUUAUUCUUACCAUAAUCACAUAAGCUUUGACCAUUUUGUCGUCUUCACCCUUAAUUUGUUUUGUCACUACCGCGGGUUUAACUCGACUUCUAACAUUCUUUGUGAAGUGAUACUUGCUACUUAAUGCGUAUGAAAUAGAAAAUACUUUGCAAUUGAAUUUAUCAAUGUAGUAUCACGGUCGUUGACAAUGACUUUCGACGUGUCUUUUUUGUCCUUCAACAUUGUCUGACACACUUCUAAAGAAAAAGUUACAUUUUCCUAUUUUUCUCUCUUCAGAAAUACAAACAUGACAUAAUAAGUCUUCUCAGUAAAGGUAACACCAACAAUUUUCGAUAUUGGAAACCUGUACUUGUUGGUCUUAUACGUUGAAUCAAUGAUGAGUAUAGUAGGAAACAUGUUGAACAACUUUAUAAAAUCGGGAUGAGUCCAAAAUAUAGCUCGAACUAUUACUCAGUCCUCGCAUGUUCGGUACCUGUAGAUACAUAAUUGUUAUCAUCCAGAAGUUUCAACAGUUGUUGUAUUUCAGUUCUAUCUCCCAUUAACGCCUUGUUGUUAAGGACACAAAACGAUUUCCUUCUCUUCCAGCAUAAGGUGACAUGCAAUUGGAUGCCCGACUAACUUGUCACACAUGUCACGGUUAUGUAAUCCAUAAUUUACAUUAAAUCUCCAUUUGUUAUUUGACAAAAGAUACCCAUGCAACUUAAAGGGACACUCGCAUUUUCUCAAACUGGUGUCAUCUCAUUUGAAUUUUCGGAGAAGGGUUUUAUACUUCCUACUUCUUUCGUAUCUCAUUGUCACAAAUGCAAAUCUUCUAUCUGAAUCAUUAUCGGGCCUUUCAAUUACAACAAAAAACCCCAGUUUGGAUGCUUUUUGUGCAAGUCCAUUGAAGCAUAUGAUCACAAAAUGCAAACUUUUAUUCAUUUGUAAAUUGGUUGUCAACAUCUACCUCAUUCACAUCAACACGUUUGGCAUCCAUAGACACAAUAGGUUCCAGAAAAACAUCAGGGUACACCAUAUCUAAUGCAAACAAUAACAAAAAAAAUCAAACAUUGAUUGAAAUGAACAAUGAACAAUUCUGGGAAUGCAUUUCUGUAGAAGUUCAUACAAAAUCCAGAAAUACAUUUACGGACGCAACGUAACUUUUACAGCUCAAAAACAAGAUUAAUGUGAGCAAUGAGGAAUGAAAUAAAUUAUCUUUACCUUGAAUUUCAACUUCUUUUUCUCCUUUUGAUAUGAUGAAACAUAAGACUAAAGUUUUGAAGUGGAAAUCUUGAUUGAGAAUGGAAUGACUUUUUAUAAGUAUAUUGAGGGAAAAAAUGGUAAUGGUGUUUGAUCAUGCAAUGUUCUAUUUUGUUGAAAAUCACGUUUGAUAUUUUAGGAAAUGCACAUCCGAAAUUGACUGAAAUGCAAAGGUGGAAGGUUUUCAAAUUCCCGUUUCACAAAUCCGAAAAUGCACUUCUGAAAAAGGCAUUGAGUUGUUAAAUUAGGAAUAAAUUGAUAGAGUGGGCCCAGAGAUGCAUCUCCGAAAUAAGUUUUGGAACAAAUAAGAGGUGAGACUCAGUUAGGGCACAUUUCAAUGAGGGCAUAGUGCAUCCCAAAAUGCAUUUUCAGAAUCAGAAGGACAAUUUCAAGUUUUUAUAAGGUGUUUUUCCACCACUUAAGGUGGAAUUAACAAUUCCUUUCUGUUUUUGUGUUGGAUAAAGAUGUGUACUUUCCAGAGAAUUAUCUGUAGUUUUAUAAAAAUGCAGGGUGCAUAAAAUCGCUUUCAAAAAAUGGCAUAUGAAAUAAGUUUCUCACAUCAUUUUAUUGAUGUUCAAAAUACAUAAAUUCUAUACAUAAUGCAAGGAACCAAACAAAUUUAGACAUUCUAAAUACUAGCUUCCAGGUCUCUAAUUGAGAUCUCAUCUAUUACAAAACUACAAACAUAUAAAUAAGUAAAUACCUUAAGCACCAAAUGCAUGAAAUACAAAACUUCCCUUUGAUCAUGGUGUUGUUGGAGAAGUUGGAACUUAAUUAUUAUGCUUCAAAGACCAUAGAAAGUACACCAUCUCUGCAUUAUUAUCAAAACAAAUUGAAACCAGGCAAAAUUAUCCCGACAGAGAGUGAUUAUGCUCUCCAUUGACAAUAUCAGGUAGCUCAGAACUGACUAUGUGAGAAAUUCAUCCAUGUCUUUUUCUCCAUAAAUUUGAGACAGGACUGAAUUACAAGGCCAAUCGACAUAGAAAUGAGGCUUACAACCAAUACUUUGAGGGUUGAAAAAUAUAAUACCAAACAAAUAAAUAUUGUAGGAGGAAUACACAUAAUAAUUGCUUAGGUUGUUUCUCCUGGUAUUGUAGUAUUCAGAUCGAACUCUAGUCUCGACAGGGGUAAUUUCAUGGUUAAACAAGGAUGUGCAUGUUAUAAUUGAAGUUUGUUCUAGAAUGUAGUAGUUGAAAUUGUUUUAUUUACUUUGUUAUGUAGUAUUUAUGCAUGUCAUGAAUGAGUGUUAUCAUCAUACGUAACAUACAUAUGCUAGUAGUUUAUAAAUAGACUGCUCUCUCAAGUUGUUGGGAGAGAUAUGGAUUGUUAUUCACUUGUAAUUUGUUAACCCUAAUUAAGAAAGUAAAUAGAAAAACCAUCAUAAUAAAACCUUACUUCUCAUUCUUUUCUCUCUUCAUAAAUUGAAUCGUUUUCUUGAUUAUUGAAGAACUCUCUCUUUCUCAUAGAUUUGUUAUGUUUGGCAUUGUUUAUCACAACAAAUUGGUGCAGUGAGCAUGGAUUAAGAUGUUGUCAACGAAGUAUGAGAUUGAAAAAUUAACCGGUGUGAAUGAUUUCGGAUUAUGGCACUUGAAGAUGCAAUUUUUUCUUGUUCAACAGGGUUUGUUAGAAGCGUUGAAGGGGUCAUAAAGAAUGGAUGUUGCCUUAACGGAGAAGGAGAACACAACAAUGAUCAAGAAAGCCCACAAUGUCAUCAUAUUGAGUCUUGAUGGUAAGGUUCUCUGACAGGUCUUGAAGGAGAAAACAACAGCGGGUGUGUGGAACAAACUUGAAGGUUUGUGCAUGACCAAUCGUUGGUAAAUCGCCUCUAUCUUAAGCAAGCUAUGUAUUCAUUCAAGAUGAGCAAAGACAAAUUCUUGGUUAACUAGUUGGAUAUGUUCAACAAGUUGAUUCUUUAUCAAGAGAAUAUUAAUGUCAAGAUCGAUGAUAAAUAUUAAGUGUUGUUGUUGUUGUGUGUUUUAGCAAGAUCUCAUGCUCACUUCAAAGAAACUCUCUUAUAUGGGAGAGAGCCACUGACCUUUGAAGAAAUCCAGUCAGACUUGUACUCAAAGGGCUUGAACAAAAUAAAGGAGCAUAAACCAUCAUUUGUUGGUGAAGAAUUGUCCGUAAAAGGAAAAUUCUCGAAGAAGGGUGGUAACUUUAAGAUAAAGGAGGGUAAAGAUUAUCAAAAGUAUUAUGGUGGUAAUACUCCUGCUAUUAGGUUUUAUCACUGUAAGAAGGAAGGACAUACAAGAAAAGUGUGUCCUUAUAAGUUGAAGAGUUAUGGCAAUGGUAAUGACAAUGGUAAUGCAUCCAUUGUUCAAGAUGAUUACGAAUUAUCUGAUGUCCUGGUAGUUUCGAGCAACAAUUCUAGCAAGAAAUGGAUCUUGGAUUUUGGUUGCACUUGGAACAUGACUCCAAACAAAUGUGUGUUUGAGGAAUUAUGUGAUCAAGAUGGUGGAUCAGUGCUGUUGGGAAACAAUAAAGCCUGCAAAAUUGUAGGAAAUGGCUAUUUAAGAUUCAAGCUACAUGACGAGUCAAUAAAGUUGUUGACUGGUGUCAGGUAUGUACCUGAUCUUAAGAAAACAUUAAUUUUUCUUGGUGAAUUCGAUAAGAAAUGAUAUUUGUUCAAGGGAGAGAAAGGUAUCCUGAGAGUCAUGAAUGGGUUAAAGUAAGUAUUGAGAGGCAGAAAGAAGCAAGGCUUGUAUGCCCUUGAGGUUGAGAUUGUAAGUGGUUCAACAAACAUUCCAUCCAUAAAACUUGUGCCGAAGACAAAGUUAUGGCACAUGAUAUUCGGCCAUUUCGGUGAAAGGGGCCUGGUCGAAUUGGGGAUGAAAACACACAAAGAAGUUUGCUCGGGUAAUCCAUUAAAUCUCGAUAAACUUAGAGUAUUUGGAUGUGUAACCUAUGCUCACACUAGGCAAGGCAAAAUCGAACCUACACCUUUGAGAUGCAUGUUCCUUGGGUAUCUUGAGGGAGUUAAAGCAUAUAGGUUAUGGUGCCUAGAACCAGGUCACGAAAGGUGUAUCACAAGUCGUGAUGUGGUUUUCAAUGAAUCAUAAACGGAUUUCAAGAAAUCUGAUGAUGAUGGUUGAAAUGUAAAGAUCUUUGAAGACGGGCUGAAACAAGAAGAGUUUCUUGUUGAGGUGAGGCAUAUUGAUGUUAAAUUGCAUAACCUAGAUGAAAUCGAAGAAUAAUCACAAGGUGUUGAUGAAGAUGAGGAGACUGAUAAUAACUACAUGUUGGCAAGGGAUAGGGCAAAGAGAGUCAUCAAGCCACCUCAGUGACUUGGUUAUGUCACUACUACAAAAUAAACCUUUCGUAACAUCAAUUUUACAACAAUCAUAAUGUUAAUUGUGGUAAUAGUUUGUUUAUGGGCGUUUUUUAUAUAUUUACUAAAGGACAUGUCACAGCGGUCAAAUGAAGUAGAUGUAGUGAAAGGUACACAUAGUGAAAUGGUUUGAAUCCCAACACCAACAAUUAGCCAUUUAUCAUGAUAAAAAUGUGAUUGACAAUGUAUAUCACCACGAUUUUUAUUACCAACUAUGAUGAAAUGUGAUACUUAUUCACAUAUAAGCAAAAUUAUUUCUCGCUUCAGUACAUAACAGUUGUCUCUCUCAAAAUAAAACCCUAACAACUAUUUCACUCGUCUCUCGCCAAAGGAAACCCUAACAACUCUGUCACUCGUCUCUCUCAUAUGGAAACCCCAAAACAAAACCAUAACAUCAAAUCUUAACCAAUGGGUAUUUACAGGUUCAUUUUAUCUAUAGUUUUUUUUUCAAAAUUUGUUUCAAUAGCUUAUUUCAUGAUGUAUGAAUUUUCUUCUUGUUUUAACUUGUAGGUAGGGAUGCUUGUUUCAAUAAAGAGGACGGAGUUAAAGUUAGCGUUGAAAAUUUAUAGGUAGGGAUGUUAAGUUUGCUGCUCUAACAUUAGCUUCAUCCUUAUUUCAUUGUGGACACGCCAUUAUGAGACACGUAUGGUACGUUUCUGAAGCAUUCUAUGACUUGAUAUGUUGUAUUUGUUGUUUAUGGUUUAUUGUUGAUUAAUGUUUGUUUAAAAGAUGAUUUUAUUAUAUAUUAUAUGAUUUGAGUGUUUCUCCAUUCCCUUACCAAAUAUAUAAUUUUUCAAACAAAAUCAACAAAUUAUGAU